UUUGAUAUGUAUAUUUUUGCCCCAUACAUGUGUAGCACCACUUAUUGGCAUGAUCUAUUGUAUUUGUACCCGUGAGGAGUACAUGAGGGUUUGUCUUUACGUUAGUAGGUAAAUUCUUUCAUUUGUUUGUAUGUGGAAUGGAGACUGGUAAUUCUCAUUAGCAAAAAACGACUCCAGAGGAACACUGGAAACCUUCAUGGCAUUUAACAAAAAAGUAUUGUCAGGUAUUGUGGUAUUAGAAAUCUUCUUAAGACACUAGAUUGGUAUAGGUGAAAGUAUUCUUUUGUUGACUGUCUACUGUUGGAGAGCUGGACUUGUGACCGCUUACUGGGAGUAGAGGUAGGAGCAUGUUGAGACAGGGCCUGUAACUAUUGGAGAUCACUGCCGUGCUUAAUACUGGUAUUGCUUGUAAUUGCAUAUAUUUUCACAGUUGUAAAGCCACUGUGGUAUUGGCAUAUGGCUGAUCACUCCUUUUUAGAGGUUUAAAGUUUGAAAUACACAAAAGUACUUUGAAGGUAAAACAUAAAAAUAUUACUAAUUGUUAAUAGGCCUUUUUCUUUCAUUUUAGUCUGAAAACUGGAUUCUUAAAGUGGAAACCAGAUUAUGACAGUGCAGCUACUGAGUAUGGGAAGGCAGCUGUUGCUUUUAAGAAUGCCAAGCAGUAUGACCAGGCAAGGGAAGCCUGUUUACGGGAAGCCGAGGCACAUGAAAACAAUAAAGCGUAUCUUUUCAUUGAUGGUUAUUCUUUUUCCAAUAAGUUGACUAGUUGCUGGGUAAUGGGGAUUGGUAGAAUAUGUAUUUAAUAUAUUUACAUAUUUCGUCAACCUAACAAAGUUCUUAAAGGACUCUUUCUGUGUGUAGUGAAUGGGGAAAAACUUGGGGGGAAAAAAAACUGGUUUUUUUAUAGAAAACUUGUUUUGAAUAAUACCUGGAGCAAUAAGGUCCUGGCCAGUGCCUGAGAAGUCUAGGUGCUGCUGCAGAAAUUAUGUUUUUCUAAAACUCCUAUGAACAGAUAUUAUAAACUAAAUCCUACUCUGGCAUUAUUGUGUUUGUAGUACCACUUAGUAAUCGGGAACGCCUUUUAAAUGGGCUCUUUCUGACUUUACGCACGCAGGUAUUUUUGUUUAUUCCAUCCUUAGAUCUAUGUAUUUUUGAAAUCUUGUUUGCAUACUUAGAUUUGUCUUUAUGAGAUUCCUCUGUUUGAAACUAGUACUUGUAUAAGU
rnacentral:lncRNA from 1 species